AACACAUAGUAAUUUUUUCAACAUAUUCGUAAAACCGUAACGUGUGUCUGGAACAUUAUGAGUCAGUACAGUCAGAAGCAGCAUUUUCUGCAGUGAUUAGGUGUUAAGACGAGAGCUUCCCUGUUAAAUUUACAGUUCGCUCAUCUAUGAUUCAUUUAAGUGAAACAUGAAAAAUACGUUAUCACACAGGAUCUGUGGUCGGGGGUUAAGACUUGAAAACCAAGUCAACCUGAGCACUGACAUAUUUUAAAUAUGACUCCUUGCAUUAAAGGAAACCACAGAGGAACUAAGCUCAGUGGAUGCUUCUACAAAGCCUUGUAUGAUGUUCAAUGGCUUCUUUGUUUGUCAUAUGGGUGACCCCGUACUAUUCUGGGUCACAGAACAUUUUCUUUUACAUUUAUAGUUAGCAUCACAUUGCAAAGGUAUUCAGACACCUUCAGCUUUUUUUCUGUUUUGUCACAUUACAACCACAAGCUUAAGUGUAUGUUAUUGAGAUUUUACCACAUACAUGACUUCUGUAGGUAAUUGGUGGCACUGAAUUGUAUUUUUGGAUAUCAUCCAAAAGAGUGCACCGAGUAUAAAUCUCUUUUUAUUAGCAGUAGUAGUAUCGUAUACCAUGUAUUUUCCUUUCACUUCACAAUUAUACACUGUUUGGUGUUGAUCUGACAUCCAAUAUCCCAAUAAAAUACAUUGGAGUUUGUAGAUGUACUCUGACAAAAUGUAAAACAUGCCACUGUAUGUUCUAGGAAAUGGAUCAUAUAAAAUAUAUUUAUUAUUUACUUGCAAUAUAACAUGUAAAAUGUAUCUUUGACAGUUGUGAUAGAAACAAAAACACACCAGCUGACCGUGUGAGCGCAUGUUUGUACCUCUGCAUUGGUGUGUGUGUGUGUGUGUGUGUUUGUUUUUGUGGUUUAUCUGUUAAAUUUUCAGUCUGAACUACAGUAUAAGUAUGAAAGGCUCUGACCUCUUACCGAUCUCCGCUUAUGACUCAUUCACGCCGUUAUGAAACCCAGACUUAAUAUUUCUAACAUCCUUCAAUAUUGAAGCUACUGAUUCAGCGAUAAAUCCGUCAGGCGCUGCUGAAGCAUGGCUAGAACGGUGUUAAGCAGGAGACAAGGAAAAAUUGCAAAGGCUCAGAAUGUGUCAUCAUUGCUGGAAAUGCAACUGAAAACAAGCAUUUGUCAAUUCGCUCAAAUAGAUGCUUGUUAAACAGUGAACAAUUGAAAUGCUUUAGAGCGCAAAGAAAUUAUAACCAUGUAAAGCAGAGUUAAGCAAAGCAAAAUUAUAUAUUACAUAUCAAAUCACAGCAUGGAAGGUUUCCAAAAGUGUCAAAAUCAGCAAAAAAAAAAAAAAAGUCUUCAGCAUUUAUAAAGUAGUCCUAGAUUUGAUCAACAUUGCAACAAAUUAUCCAGAGGGAUGAUUAAUCCAAAAUGUGACUAGGCUGCAUGAAAAAUGUUUUACCGUAUUCGAAAAGAACCCAAGAGAUGGUUGCACCUUUAACUGAUCCUAUCCUGUCAAUGAUUGUUUACUGUCAUUGAUUUUCUUUUUUUUAAACCAAGAACUAGAUCAUUAAAUUAGUACUAAACGCGGUGAAUCGGACACCAGGUUCAGCAUCAGUAUCCAGCAGUGGUUGGGGAAGCUUCACAUUGACUUGACACUUGACAUGCAAACAAGUAAAAGAAUCAGACUCUUAAGGGAAAUAACUUAUUUAAAGAGCACACUUUGUGUUUGUGCUAAUGGCAUCCCCCAUGUUCAGGUUGCCCAGGGCAGAGAACCACACUGCCUAUAUCCAAUACCAGCAAUGUUUGGCGUGAACAUAAAAAUAUGUCUAUUUGAAAGCAUACACAAAUACUCAACAAUUUUGUCUUUUUGUUCCAAAGGGAACCAAAUGGCCAAAGAGAUGUUUACAACUUUGUUGUGAAUUAAAUCUGUAGAAGAAGUCCAAAUUCUAAAGUUACCCAGACUGAAUAUGAAAACUGAUUACACAUUAGUCCAAUUAAGCAUGUUGGUUAUUUUAUACAGAUUUAUCAGCUCAAAUCAAAGCUGAUCAUCAAGCAAUUUGUGUAGCUAUUUGUUUGUUUGUUUCUUCUAUUACGAAGGUGUUCAUGUCAAGAAAAAACAAAAACAGAACAAAAACGCUUCGCGUAGCUUCACUUUGACUCUCCAGACAGCUGACUAUUGUGUUUUCUUCCUGCUGCCGCAUGAGGAAGUGCAGAGAGACCGAACUCUGACAAGAAGAAGAUAAACUGAUCCUUCUUACGGUACCUUUUGGCAUCCGACACACAAACAAGGAAACAUUCUUCAUAUCUGAAGCCUUUAUUGCAUGCUGGCGACAACACAUGACAAGCUGCAGCACUGCGCGUGUGUUUUUAUCUGUUAAACAUUGUCAUCGACAGACAAAGCAGACUGCCUGAGAUGCAUAAAGUUUCCGUCUGGGUCACACAAAGGAGCUGCAGGCCUAUUUUGACUGCUUAACAUGCGCAAUUAAUGAGUGACCUGUGCACACAUGCACAAUCUUCUGAUUGCUAUCUGUCUGGCUGCAGUGGAAAAAAAUAAAUAAAAGAGACACAAGGAAAUCAGUUAAGCUAAUCACUUCUAUUAUAUUCUCUUAUAGAGAGUACAACACCCUGACGCUUCUUAGGGUUUUCUGCUAGCAUCUGGAGAUAGCACAAGUGUAUCUCUAGAAUAAACACAGAAAUAUGCAUGGACAUAAUUCAAUCUCAGUUGAUUUGUUGUGGCAUUUGAAUUUAAAUGUAACCAUUCAUUCCUAAUGAACAGUAAAGUGUUUGUUUGUGCAGCAUUUGUGAAAUCCGAGAGUACCCCUCUAUAUUCUUAAGGCUUUUCUUUCAUGGCUUGUUUUCAAUAUUUGCUGUUUUUUGCCCUUUUUUCGCCUCAAGUUUUGUUACCAAGCUACAAGUCAACACAGACUGCAACUCUAGCCGGCAGCACAGCACUUAAAAAGUCUUCUAUUGUAGAUGAUGUCGAUAUAAACAAGUCCACUGCAGCACUAUUUUCGAUCUUUAUUGCUGGAGGUGACAGCCUUGCGUGCUUCGCUCUGUUUUUCAAUCGAACCAUACAACAAACACAAAAACAGAAUCAGAAGGACCAUGAGAACUGCUGAAACUCCAUGAAACACUUCACUGGCUGCUGUAAAACAAUAAAAAAAAUAUGCAACUUUUUCCACAUCAUGACUCAUUUGGUGUUUAAAAAUUGUACAACCUGGAAAAUCCAUCCGAUUUUGAUGUCAUGUCCUGUCAUCCUGACACUGAGGUGAUCUAAAUACAGCCAGUGGCUACUUUAACACCUUUAAGGUGUGAGCUACACGCGUUUCCCACACUGAGUCUGAACACAGAAUAUGUAGCUCAGCAGAGCAUCAUGCAGAAACAGCUUCAUGAUAUGUUGUAAAUUUGUAUGUAACAUGCAUAUCACAAAAAACUUAUUUGACCACAGUAAGUGUUAGCUACUUAUGUAAGGAUUCCUAUGCAUAUUUGGUGACCUUUUGCCACUUAGAAAUCUUUUAUAAGAUAAAGUGUUUGGUGAGCUUGUCAGAAAUACAAUAACUUUGUUAAAUUACUUGUUUAUUAUACUCAUGUGAAUAUCGCAAAAUUCAUCAACAUUAUUGCACAUUGCGCGUUAUAGGCCACGCCCCUUUGGUUCCGCCAUCCCAGACGCACGUCUUGGAAGUCUAUAUCCCUGAGACCUCUACACAUUCACUUGUAUGAUGAAAAAGACAACGCGAUUUAAACAAGUGAGGAAGAACUUUGUCAAUCCUCUGCUGACAAACUGACAGCUAUUUUUGGUAAGGCAUCAGUGUUGAGAGAACUUGCAGUGAAUAAAGCAAGAAAGAAAAUAAAUGUGGCUCUCCGUUCGCAUGGGAGCACAGUAAGAUUUCAGCUGAGAGAUAAGAAAAGAAGUCGCCUUUUUGCUGACUCGCCAUUGCCUCCUUUCAGCUUUUCUUCGCAAAUUUUCCGGAGUUUCAAACUGAAACCUUUGUUUCACUAGUGAACACACUCUGCAACAUUCACAGAUCCGUCAUCUUCUGCUUGCUUUGCAUCAUUCUCUAACCACAUGUGUUACAUGAUAAAAACCUACAUUACUCAAAUAUGUGCAGCCACUAAGUCAGGCUUGUUGAAUCCUAAAUGUGUUAGCAUGUAAAUCUAUGGCAAUGCUUCCACUUAAUGUCAUUUGGGACAGAGAAGAAAAAAAAAAAUCACUGAGAUCCAGAUUGCCACCCACCACAGCUGACUGUGUGGUGUAGGUGCUUAUUUACACAAAGAGAGGGAAGUGACAUAUGACCACAAAUGGUGACACAAUAACAGUUCUGUCCUAUGAUACCUGCUGCCAACAAUGCUUGUCAGAUUAUUUAGCCUCUGGGAAUGGUUACACCGUGAAGUAAUCCCAGGAAAACCAGGCAUCACACAGCCCUUACACUGUACCUGACCUUGUAGCUGGCAGGUUAAAGUCAACAGGAUGUCCUGUCAGACUAAUUUAUACAUCAGACAUCUCACGUUCCCACUGAAAGAAUUAGGUGAACAAAGAAAAAAAGGUUUGAGGACCGGACUCAAAUGACAAACACUUCCUAAAAAGUAUCAGCUGAUACACCCUCUGCUCCUAUCUUCCAAGCAGCUCAUCCGUGUCUUUGGAGACUCUAUUGUCAGGGUCCAACAACCUUUUUUCCCAUUUAACCAAAACGUUUGUGCAGGUCAUCUUUAGGUGUGCGCUUUUCAUCCGGUGUUAAAGAGGAAGUGUGCUCCUUUUGUUACAGCAAAAUGCCUUAUGGUGUAUCUUGAGCACACUGCAGUCUAAACGUAGCGCUGGACUCCAGAGAACAAUGCGCAAUGGAAGUUGCACGAGAAAACUGCUGAAUCAUCAGUUGCACUGGGAGGACACAAGACAAAACGGUGCACUGAAGUUUGCUCACCCUGCAGCCCGAGUCCACCGUGCUCCACAGCCAUUCGCUGCAGGGCGUGGUUCAUCACCUGGCCGGUGAGGCUGGGGGUCUGCGUGGCUUUGUC